rnacentral:lncRNA from 9 species
CAGCCCGGCCGGAGGUCCGCGGGGGGCCGGCCGCCCGGCCCGGGAGCGGCUGGGGAGGGGGAGCCCGGCAGGUGCACGGAGCCAGGAGACCCCGGCGCACGCACACCCGCCGGCGGCCUGCAGCGCGGGGCCCGGGCGAGGAAUCCAUUCAGGGGCCCGGGUGCGAGAGCGCAGCUCGGAGCUGGAGGACCGCGGCUGGAUGAGAUGGCACGAUGGUCACGCAGGACCUUGGGCUGUUUCUUCCGCCUCUGCCCGAAGCCAGUCUGCAGGAUGGAGGGAGCCGCCUGUUCGGGAGCUGGCGGGACCUGACCUCAGCCGCCAGCACUGCGUGAGAGCCGAGCUCCUGUCUGAGGUGGUGCAUUGAGCAAGUCUUCCAACGCAGUAACUCCUAGAGCUGCCUUUCCACCUGGCCGACGCGUGGCGACUCAUCCAGGGUCCUGGACGCCCGCCUGCUGGUUCCACGGCCGAUGCUUUGGGCGCUGUUAGCAUCCAGGCUGUGGAGCCAAGCUGGCAUCUGAAGGCUGUUUCUCUGUUUAUUGGACGUUCCCGGGAGGGCGCUGCAUUUCCUCCCAGGUUUCCUCCCCCCCAGCCGAGACACUGUCUCUGCUAUUCGCUGUCCUACCAUGAGGUCCUGGUACCUGCAGC